GAUGAACGCUGGCGGCGUGCCUAAUACAUGCAAGUCGAGCGAACAGAUGAGGAGCUUGCUCCUCUGACGUUAGCGGCGGACGGGUGAGUAACACGUGGAUAACCUACCUAUAAGACUGGGAUAACUUCGGGAAACCGGAGCUAAUACCGGAUAAUAUAUUGAACCGCAUGGUUCAAUAGUGAAAGACGGUUUUGCUGUCACUUAUAGAUGGAUCCGCGCCGCAUUAGCUAGUUGGUAAGGUAACGGCUUACCAAGGCAACGAUGCGUAGCCGACCUGAGAGGGUGAUCGGCCAAACUGGAACUGAGACACGGUCCAGACUCCUACGGGAGGCAGCAGUAGGGAAUCUUCCGCAAUGGGCGAAAGCCUGACGGAGCAACGCCGCGUGAGUGAUGAAGGUCUUCGGAUCGUAAAACUCUGUUAUUAGGGAAGAACAAAUGUGUAAGUAACCAUGCACGUCUUGACGGUACCUAAUCAGAAAGCAACGGCUAGCUACGUG
rnacentral:rRNA from 1 species